UACGUAGGGUGCGAGCGUUGUCCGGAAUUAUUGGGCGUAAAGAGCUCGUAGGCGGUUUGUCGCGUCGGGAGUGAAAACUCAGGGCUUAACCCUGAGCCUGCUCCCGAUACGGGCAGACUAGAGGUAUGCAGGGGAGAACGGAAUUCCUGGUGUAGCGGUGAAAUGCGCAGAUAUCAGGAGGAACACCGGUGGCGAAGGCGGUUCUCUGGGCAUUACCUGACGCUGAGGAGCGAAAGUGUGGGGAGCGAACAGG
rnacentral:rRNA from 1 species